GACGAACGCUGGCGGCGCGCUUAACACAUGCAAGUCGAGCGAGAACCAGGGUUUCGGCCCUGGGGACAGCGGCGAACGGGUGAGUAACACGUGGGUAAUCCACCCUCGGCACCGGAAUAGCCCGGGGAAACCCGGAUUAAUGCCGGAUGGCCCGUCGACCUUUCGGGGCUGACGGAAAAGGUAGCUUCGGCCUCCGGCCGAGGACGAGCCCGCGGCGGAUUAGCUUGUUGGUGGGGUAACGGCCUACCAAGGCAGCGAUCCGAGCUGGUCUGAGAGGACGAUCAGCCACACUGGGACUGAGACACGGCCCAGACUCCUACGGGAGGCAGCAGUGGGGAAUCUUGCGCAAUGGGCGAAAGCCUGACGCAGCGACGCCGCGUGAGGGAAGAAGGCC
rnacentral:rRNA from 1 species